GACGUAGGGGGCAAGCGUUAUUCGGAAUUACUGGGCGUAAAGCGUGCGCAGGCGGUUCGCUAAGACCGAUGUGAAAUCCCCGGGCUUAACCUGGGAACUGCAUUGGUGACUGGCGGGCUAGAGUAUGGCAGAGGGGGGUAGAAUUCCACGUGUAGCAGUGAAAUGCGUAGAGAUGUGGAGGAAUACCGAUGGCGAAGGCAGCCCCCUGGGCCAAUACUGACGCUCAUGCACGAAAGCGUGGGGAGCAAACAGG
rnacentral:rRNA from 1 species